CGUGCACGUCAUCUGGUAAACAAGUUCUGGAGUGACGUGAACGUUAACAGACUGAAUAAGACUUUGGUUGCUGCAGCAGCAAGAAGAUGAAGAGGAUGGCUGCCACUACAUUGAUGUGAGGGACUACAAAUCUAUUCUCCACUCGUGAAAUUGGAGUACAUGAUGCUCUGUGCUGUGACUGCAUAUUAAAUAGAGGGUUCCAGUUCAUGGCAGGCUUGAACAUCAGUGGUCCCUGCAUUGUUGCUGAACAUCCAGAUGGGUUUCCUCCCAUCUGAGCAUCAUGGUUUGAGUCUUGUACCACUGUUGCAUAACUUGUACUUAUGUUACAGAGCAC